UACGUAGGGGGCGAGCGUUGUCCGGAUUUAUUGGGCGUAAAGAGCUCGUAGGUGGUUUGUCGCGUUGUUCGUGAAAACUCACAGCUCAACUGUGGGCGUGCGGGCGAUACGGGCAGACUUGAGUACUGCAGGGGAGACUGGAAUUCCUGGUGUAGCGGUGGAAUGCGCAGAUAUCAGGGGGAACACCGGUGGCGAAGGUGGGUCUCUGGGCAGUAACUGACGCUGAGACGCGAAAGCGUGGGUAGCAAACAGG
rnacentral:rRNA from 1 species